rnacentral:misc_RNA from 1 species
CCGAGUUUACAACUCCCAAACCCAUGUGAACCUUACCAUCGUUGCUUCGGCGGGUCUCGCCCCGGGCGCCAUCGCGUGCCCCGGACCCAGGCGCCCGCCGGAGGACCCAAACUCUUGUUUUACCAGUGGUAUCUUCUGAGUUUUAAAAACAAAUAAAUUA